rnacentral:lncRNA from 1 species
AGACUGCUGCCACGCCGGCUGGCUAGGUCGCUCUGACAUAAUAAGCAUAUCAGCAAGCUAAGAACUUUUGAGGUGGAGUCCGGCCCCCACAGAGUGAAGAGAGUUCAGAGGAAUCUUCGACAGGACGACUCGAACCCUGAGGACCAAGUAACCCAGAGUUGGCUGACAUCUCUGAGCCAGUGCUGCUCUCACCCACCUGAAGAGCGAGUGCCUCAGACCUGCCUGCACCCAACUUGAAACCCAUCAGAGUAUCAAAGUCAAUUGCACACACCUGAAGACAACACUGGACCCAUACACACCAGGAAAGGAAGUGAUACCACCUGUACCCACUGGAACAAGAGAUGGGAAGACAACAAUAUAAGAACACAUCCAACAACAGGAAAACCAACAUGAUACCACCAGAGCCUAGGGACUCCACACCAGCAAGACAUGAAUACCACAACACAGAAGAAGCAGAAGAGAGCAACCUUAAAAACAACUUCAUGGAAAUGAUAGAGAAUCUAAGAGAGGAAAUCAGAAAAUCCUUCAGAGAAAUGGAAGAAAAGACAAACCAAAAGAUACAAGAAAUCAAGGAAAACCAAAAAAGCCAAGAAAAUACAAUUAAACAGCUGAAGAAAACAGUUCAGGACCUGAAAACUGAAUUAGAGACAAUAAGGAAAAUACAAACUGAGGGAAUGCUGGAAGUGGAAAUAGUAAACAAUCAGGAACCACAGAUGCAAGCAUAACCAAUAGAAUACAAGAGAUGGAAGACAGAAUCUCAGACGCUGAAGACAAACUAGAGGAAAUAAACUCAUCAAGCAAAGAAAAUCUGAAGUCUAACAAAACCAUAACACAAAAUAUUCAGGAAAUUUUGAAAAGACCAAACCUAAGGAUAAUAGGUAUAGAAGAAGGUGAAAAAACCCAACUAAAAAGUGCAGAAAACAUAUUCAACAAAAUCGUAGAAGAAAACUUUCCCAACCUAAGGAAAG